GAUGAACGCUGGCGGCGUGCCUAAUACAUGCAAGUCGAGCGAACAGAUGAGGAGCUUGCUCCUCUGACGUUAGCGGCGGACGGGUGAGUAACACGUGGAUAACCUACCUAUAAGACUGGGAUAACUUCGGGAAACCGGAGCUAAUACCGGAUAAUAUAUUGAACCGCAUGGUUCAAUAGUGAAAGACGGUUUUGCUGUCACUUAUAGAUGGAUCCGCGCCGCUUUAGCUAGUUGGUAAGGUAACGGCUUACCAAGGCAACGAUGCGUAGCCGACCUGAGAGGGUGAUCGGCCACACUGGAACUGAGACACGGUCCAGGCUCCUACGGGAGGCAGCAGUAGGGAAUCUUCCGCAAUGGGCGAAAGCCUGACGGAGCAACGCCGCGUGAGUGAUGAAGGUCUUCGGAUCGUAAAACUCUGUUAUUAGGGAAGAACAAAUGUGUAAGUAACUAUGCACGUCUUGACGGUACCUAAUCAGAAAGCCACGGCUAACUACGUG
rnacentral:rRNA from 1 species